CCCUUAGAUGUUCUGGGCCGCACGCGCGCUACACUGUUCGACGCAGCGAGUCUUAACCUUGACCGAAAGGUUUGGGUAAUCUUCAGCAAAGUCGAACGUGAUGGGGAUCGAUCAUUGCAAUUAUUGAUCGUGAACGAGGAAUUCCUAGUAAGUGCAAGUCAUCAGCUUGCGCUGAUUACGUCCCUGCCCUUUGUACACACUGCCCGUCGCUACUACCGAUUGAAUGGUUUAGUGAGAUCUCUGGAUUGACGCUGGCUAGGGGGCGACCCUUGGCCAGGCUGUCGAGAAACUGCUCAAACUUGAUCAUUUAGAGGAAGUAAAAGUCGUAACA
rnacentral:rRNA from 1 species